GUGGGGAAUUUUGGACAAUGGGCGCAAGCCUGAUCCAGCAAUGCCGCGUGCAGGAAGAAGGCCUUCGGGUUGUAAACUGCUUUUGUACGGAACGAAAAGGCUCUGGUUAAUACCUGGGGCUCAUGACUGUACCGUAAGAAUAAGCACCGGCUAACUACGUGCCAGCAGCCGCGGUAAUACGUAGGGUGCAAGCGUUAAUCGGAAUUACUGGGCGUAAAGCGUGCGCAGGCGGUUUUGUAAGACAGACGUGAAAUCCCCGGGCUCAACCUGGGAAGGGCGCUUGUGACUGCAAAGCUGGAGUGCGGCAGAGGGGGAUGGAAUUCCGCGUGUAGUAGUGAAAUGCGUAGAUAUGCGGAGGAACACCGAUGGCGAAGGCAAUCCCCUGGGCCUGCACUGACGCUCAUGCACGAAAGCGUGGGGAGCAAACAGGAUUAGAAACCCUGGUAGUCC
rnacentral:rRNA from 1 species